rnacentral:tRNA from 1 species
AUCAAGAUGGCAGAACAUUGCCACAGGUUUAAACCCUGUACACGAAUUAACCCUCUCUUGUUA